CUCUCUUCCAAGUUUUCAUUGUUUACUCUCCAGGUCCAUGAUCAACAAAUUCUAAUCUCAGGCUGGGGCUGUAGCUUCGCGGUAGGGUGUUUGCAUAGCACACAUAAGACCCUAGGUUGAUCCUCAGCACAAAAAAAAUUACCUGACCUGGGGGUGUUGUUGUUGUUGUGUUUGGGGGGGCAUAUUUUUGUUUUUUAAGACAGGGUCUCACUAAGUUGUCCAAGUCAGCCUUGAGCUCCCUAUGUAGCCCAGGCUGACCUCUAAGUCCUGCUGCCUCAGCCAGAUUUUCUUUACUGCCCUCUGUCUGCAUUCCCUAUCAGUGACUCAGAAUGCUUUAUACCCCAAAUUCUUUUAUCCCUUAAGUCAUUGAUACAUACAUCCUAUGUUCCCAUCAGUCUCUUAGCAGUUUUAUCAACCACUCCUUUGAUACCUAUUUUUUUACCUUAACUAAAAAUAAAUACAAUUUAAAGUUGUUUCUCAGUCUCAGUACAUUUGGCUAAUGGUUACCAUCUUGUGGGCUAUGCAAAUACAGAACAUUUCCAUCCUCAGAAAACUUGGUCACCACAGAGAAUCACGGCCUCGGCUGUAGAUUUACAGUGUGUUGGAAACGUGAAGCUCAUUCACUCCUGUACGGCUAUGGAAUAGAUGAGGCUUGUGCAUCAUUAGAAAGAAUACUGCUCAAUAAAAUGAACUGAUACACGCUCCCACAUGGAAGAAGUGGACCCCAAAGUGUUUACAUCAUAUGGUUCCAUUAUAUGAAAUCGAAGAACAGACAAAACUAAUCUAUGGUGAUAGAAAUCAGAAGUGGCUGCAGGGAAGUAAUCAGAAAAAGGAAUAAGAAACUUUCUUGGGUGAUGCGUUCUACUUCCUAAAGUAGUUGAUAAACUGUCAAAAGUAACUGAACUGAACACCUAAGACCCAUUUAUCUCUUACUUGCUAAUUAUUUUAAAUGUUUUGAUCAUGUAGAAGGGAUGUUGAGUUGUGCACACAACUCACCAGUCUCCAAAAGUGCUUGCAUGUGCUUGGCAACAGGAACAGUGUGGGCACACUAGUAGACCUUGGUGAGAAGAUCUGAACUAAAGCUUGGCCAUAAACAGUAUAAACUAAGGAGAUAUUCAUUUCAAGUCUUUAAAAAAGCUAAAUUCAUUCCUAAGGGCUUUGUCAUAAUGCUCCUAUUCUAUUGUUGGAUAGCCCUAC
rnacentral:lncRNA from 1 species